rnacentral:rRNA from 1 species
AGUUUGAUCAUGGCUCAGAUUGAACGCUGGCGGCAUGCCUUACACAUGCAAGUCGAACGGCAGCACGGGUGCUUGCACCUGGUGGCGAGUGGCGAACGGGUGAGUAAUACAUCGGAACGUACCUUAUCGUGGGGGAUAACGCAGCGAAAGCUGUGCUAAUACCGCAUACGCCCUGAGGGGGAAAGCGGGGGAUCGAAAGACCUCGCGCGAUUAGAGCGGCCGAUGCCUGAUUAGCUUGUUGGUGGGGUAAAAGCCCACCAAGGCGACGAUCAGUAGCUGGUCUGAGAGGACGAUCAGCCACACUGGGACUGAGACACGGCCCAGACUCCUACGGGAGGCAGCAGUGGGGAAUUUUGGACAAUGGGGGAAACCCUGAUCCAGCAAUGCCGCGUGAGUGAAGAAGGCCUUCGGGUUGUAAAGCUCUUUUGUCAGGGAAGAAACACCGGCUCUAACACAGUCCGGGAAUGACGGUACCUGAAGAAUAAGCACCGGCUAACUACGUGCCAGCAGCCGCGGUAAUACGUAGGGUGCGAGCGUUAAUCGGAAUUACUGGGCGUAAAGCGUGCGCAGGCGGUUAUACAAGACAGGCGUGAAAUCCC